rnacentral:rRNA from 1 species
CCUACGGGGGGCUGCAGUGAGGAAUAUUGGUCAAUGGACGAGAGUCUGAACCAGCCAAGUAGCGUGAAGGAUGAAGGUCCUACGGAUUGUAAACUUCUUUUAUAAGGGAAUAAACCCUCCCACGUGUGGGAGCUUGUAUGUACCUUAUGAAUAAGCAUCGGCUAACUCCGUGCCAGCAGCCGCGGUAAUACGGAGGAUGCGAGCGUUAUCCGGAUUUAUUGGGUUUAAAGGGAGCGCAGACGGGAGAUUAAGUCAGUUGUGAAAGUUUGCGGCUCAACCGUAAAAUUGCAGUUGAUACUGGUUUCCUUGAGUGCAGUUGAGGCAGGCGGAAUUCGUGGUGUAGCGGUGAAAUGCUUAGAUAUCACGAAGAACCCCGAUUGCGAAGGCAGCACACUAAUCCGUAACUGACGUUCAUGCUCGAAAG